CCACUAGUCUACCAGUUGUCUGACAAGGCAAUGCUGGGUAGCCACGCCCUAUGUGGAUAAGAGCUGAAAGCAUCUAAGCUCGAAGCCACCCCAAAGACGAGGCAUAUGAGACAGGCGGUAAAAGACCGCAUGAUAGGAGCCGGGUGUAAGC
rnacentral:rRNA from 1 species